rnacentral:rRNA from 1 species
AAUGAACGCUGGCGGCGCGCCUAACACAUGCAAGUCGAACGAGAAAGCUCCUUCGGGAGCAAGUAAAGUGGCAAACGAGUGAGUAACACGUGGGAAUUUUCCCUUCAGUGAAGAAUAACCUCGGGAAACUGAGGACAAUGCUGCAUACGUCCCUUCGGGGAGAAAGGUGGCCUCUUGCUGCCGCUGAAGGAUAAGCCUGCGAACUAUCAGCUUGUUGGUGAGGUAAUGGCUCACCAAGGCUAUGACGGUUAGUCGGCCUGAGAGGGUGAUCGGCCACGCUGGAACUUAGACACGGUCCAGACUCCUACGGGAGGCUG